ensembl:miRNA
GGAGCUAGGCGUGGAGCUUCUGUAGUGGUAGUGUUCCACACCUCUGCGGAAGUUGGCGCUUUCGAUUUGGCUUU